UAGACUUGGGCUUCUUGGUUCCCGGCGGGUUUUGUCAAGUUUUAUGAUCACCAUUACAUUCAGCCCCUCUGAAAUGUUGGGAAGCUGGGAGCUUCCUUCCUAUUAGGAAGCCUUGCCUUGACUUUCAUACCAAUAAAGUUGUUCUUAGACCAGAGUUCAUCCUAAUAAGCAUCUUGAGAAUUGCCCCUGAACUAAGAAUUACUUCCCCCUCUGUCUGCCCUAAGCCUCAGAAUCUUACACAGCCUACAUGCCUUGAAUCUAAGAUAGGGCUUAUAGCAUAACAACUUUUUUAUCACCUUCCAUCAGGCAGCAAAGCCUCCAGGUGGAUUAGGCUGAGUAUAUAAGAAGCUUAUAAGGUAGCAGAUGUCAGGCCUCAGUAAAGGUCAUUCUGCUGGGACUAUUCUCUUUCUGGACACAGAUUUCUUCCUGGACUAGUGUAGAAUGUGGAAGGAGGACUGGUAUUCUGCCACAGACCCUUGGAAUGCUCAAGAUAAAGGAUCCUCUGUGACGGAUGUGCACAUGGUCUAAGAACCUAGGGCUGAAAGUGGCAACAUGUAAAAGGACAAUGGAAUACAAUGAGAUAAUGUUACUUGAUCAUCUUUCCAAGUAUGACACACGAAGGAUUACUAGAAUGUGAUGCUGCUGUGAUUUCUGGAUACCAAAUCUUUCUUUUAUGCAGAAAUGUACAUUCCUUCAUCAGAAAAAAAUAAGCUAGACAUCCUCAUUAUGGUUCCAUUUGAGGAAGAAAGAUUUAGGAAAGUUCUCUACCAUCUAACCAGGAUUAAUGCAUAAAGCUCUUACCUAAUCAAAUGUAGCCCAAAAAGUUGUUAAAGGGAUGCAGAAUAGAUGGGCUAGAGAGGGAAUUUAAAAAUCAGCUUUAAUAAACUCUUCCUAAGAGCCAAGAUCCACAUUAUGGGCGCAAAUUGCACAAUAAUAUAAUUGUCUUAGGGAUGUAAAGACUCCGUGCAGAAUAUUGGCUCAAUGCUCUGGCUCAGUUGAGUUGAAUGAUUUGGGCUAUCUAGGCUGUUGAUGUGUCACUUACUUGCAGGCCACUGGAGUAAUAUGAUUAAACCAGCCACUUAUAUAACCCUCCUAUAACAAACACAAGUGCCAGGACCACACUGAUGCAGGGGUGUGAAGCAGCCUGCAUUUCUCAAGAUGCUUUAGGCCAUCAGGAUCUGGUGGCACAGCACUCUGUUCUCAUGGCCCCAACUUUUCCAAGAAGUCUGACCUUCUAGCAGACAACCUAAAUUAAUGUCAAGUACAAAUGGAUUCUCCAUAAAAACAUUUGACUAAUUCAUUGCCUAGAUCUUAACAUUUGUGGCCAAAUUUCCAGUUUUCCCGAUGAAUAAUUUCUUGUUAGAAAAUGUCAGAAAAGGGAAAGACAUCAUGGACUUCUAUAGGAAGUAAAUACGACUAUUUUCUCCCUGAGUCAUGGGUCAAGGGUUUUACCAAUUUCCUUUCUAGAAUUUUUCCUAGGCUCCAAUCUAAAAGGAGUUUAGCACCAGAUGGGUGGGGGCAGGGAUGUGAUUAGCUAUUUAUUUGUAUUUCUACAAUGUUGAAUAUACUCUUAUUGCUAGGGAUUUCCAUUCACUUUCUCUGAAUAGAAAUUUGGUAUUCCUGGGGUUCGGGGCUGGUGGGAGAAUGUCUUUACAUGGCCACACAAAACCCAUCACAAUCUGGUGAUCCCUUGGAGUGUCUUGCUUAAAAGGGUUCUCGUCACUGGGAGUACUCACUGGAGCCAAGCCAGUUCCCUGGGGAAUGCUGGUGUCUGCUACUUACAGAGUUGGCUGUCAGAUUUGGCUUGUUCUUCUCCCCGGAGAAAGCUGAGCUUAGAGUACACAUCAAUUCACACAACUUGGUUUGAAUUUAUAGAUGCAUGCAAGAUGCGUCAAGCAUACCUUUCUGCUUUUGUGAUUCCCACCAUCAUGUGUAGCCAACCUCCAUCAAGCCUCAGCAUCUGUGCCUUUCAGCAUGACACUUAGAUCACUUCAGAACUAGUCUGAAAUCAGCUCUUUGAAAUUAUGCAUCACUAAUUUAUUGAUGUGGAUCAUGACGAAUCAAGGAAAGUGGAGUCAGAGCUGUGAGAAAAAGAAGAAACACAUCUGGUGGAGGGUUUUAUGGGCUUACAGGUGAGCCUGUUUGUGCCAGCCUGUAGUGUAGAAUUUUAACUUCUCCUAUAAAACAUCUGAGGUCUAGAGAUCACAAAUCAGAUAUAUUGCACCCAACGUUAAAAACAUCUCGUAAUUUACCAUAGUAAAUCAAUCAAUGUUUUCCUAGAAAUAUUGGAACUGAAACAAGAGUUGAGUGAAAACAGAAAAAUCUCUAGAGGUUUAGUUGGCUUAAAGGUAUUUCUUGAAAUAUUGAAUUCCAGGGGCUAGAAAACUGUAUUAGAGAUAUCCUUGAAAGGUGUUUUUUCAAGUGAUGGAAAAGUGGCUUCCAGAAAGUUGUUUAUUACUUGGUAGAAGGAACCAGUUAGUUAGGUUAUGGGAGGACAGUCAGCUCUCCGUUACCCGGGGGCCAGUUAUUCCAAAACUGUGUUUUGAUCCUUGUGUCCAUUGCUUCAUUUUGAUCCUUGUGUCCGUUGGAACUGCCAUCCAAAGGAUUGCUGAAGAAGGUGGAGAACAUGUGACUCAAAAUUAACAGUAUACUAAAAAUUAGCAGCAUAUUAGCUGUACUUAUUCUUUAGAUAGCUCUGUGA